rnacentral:rRNA from 1 species
UUAAGCCAUGCAUGCCUUGNAAGGGUGUUUUAUUACAAAAUCUGCGAAUGGCUCCGUAUACCUGUUAUUACCUAUCAUGUUCUACUCAAUUUCACGGAUAAUGCUGGAAACCCUAGCAAUAAUACGUUAUAACAACAUACUGUUGUAUGAAUCGCUUGUUUUAAAUGCUUGUAUUCCUCGGAAUGCACAUUUAAGCUUGUGUUUUCAAUAGGGCUCCUGCUUCUGUGCAUGAUUGACCCAGGGUCAAAAGGGUUUUCUACGUGUAUAUUGUGCUUGAUUUCUUUUCUUGAUCUGGUUGGGUUUGGCAUUGCUAAUUUUGACUGAUCUCUGAAGGAUUCCAGUGCAAUAGUAGCUGAUUCUUCCUGGUUAUCAAUGGACAACAUGAUUUGGGUGGGAGAACAUCCUUGAUGGAGGCAUUUAAUGACCUUCACACUCAUGGUGGGUUUCAGUCCUAUCAACUAGAUGACUGGACAUUGGCCAGCCAUGGUUUUAACGGGUGCAGAGGAUUAGGGUUUGAUCCUGGAGAGGUAGCCUGAGAAAUAGCUCCCACUUCCAUGGAAGGCAGCAGGCGCGCAACGUUCCCAAUGGUUUAUGGACCGAGGACGUUAAGGAACAUACUAAUACUCUGCUUUAAACAGCAGAGCAAUUGAAAUGGGAGCGAUAUAAAUCAUCUAUCGAGUAACAAUUAGAGGACAAGUCUG